AUACAAAUCAGAUACUAAAAGUAUGGAUACAAAUAUAAACAUAAGUUAGCUAAUUAAAUUUUAUGAGCAUGGAAUAAAAAAUAUUACUAAGUAGAUGUUGAGUAAAAUGAAUAGCAUGUUAAUAUGGUUAUAUUUUUCUUAAAACCUCUUAAGUGAUAUACUUAAGUGAUAUAUAAAUUUAAAUAGAAUUACAAAUAGAAUUGGAUAUUUGGA
rnacentral:lncRNA from 1 species